CAGAGAGUAGUUUAAUGUAAAAAUCCUGGCCUUGGGAGCCAGGGAUGUAGGUUAGAAUCCUCCCUCUCUGA
rnacentral:tRNA from 1 species